rnacentral:rRNA from 1 species
UACGUAGGGGGCAAGCGUUGUCCGGAUUUAUUGGGCGUAAAGAGCGUGUAGGCGGCCAGGUAGGUCAGCUGUGAAACUCGAGGCUCAACCUCGAGACGUCGGUUGAAACCACCUGGCUAGAGUCCGGAAGAGGAGAGUGGAAUUCCUGGUGUAGCGGUGAAAUGCGCAGAUAUCAGGAAGAACACCCGUGGCGAAGGCGGCUCUCUGGGACGGUACUGACGCUGAGACGCGAAAGCGUGGGGGAGCGAUCCGG